ensembl:lncRNA
CAGAGUUUGCUUCAGCCCAACUUUUUAUUAGGAAGUUAGAAAAGACACACACAGACAGACACGUGGCUUGGACGCUCAACUUUGAGGCUCGUGGGUGUUUGGUUGGAGGAGCUGGAAGUUGGGCCUUCUGGAUCCACGGCUGACAGGGCAGCUGUGCAUGCACAGUCCCGCUCAGCGCUCGUAGCUGUGAGGACACAGCGAGUGCAGCUGCAGCGGUCAUGGCUGCUGGCUUCCUAAUUACAAGCCAGAAGUUUUGUGCAACCGAGAGUGUGGCAAAGUGAAGGAGAGGAGGAAGAAGUCUAUAACUAUGAGAACUGUCAUCCUUUCUACUACAUCAGUGCCCAGGACAAAACAUCGGAAAAGCAGGGAGGUUUUAUGGCAGCCCCUAUCCAUAUCUGUAAACAAAACCAUCCCAGUGUGUACCAAAAAGCCUUAAACCUCAAGCCUGCAAACCCCUUCCAGCCACGAUCUAAUGUUGCCACCAAAUGGCCAAAGAAGACUGUUCUACCCCAGCCUCCAUCACAGAAGAAAUAUCUAUCACCCAAACCCAAAAGCUAUGAAUUUAGUCUGAGCAUUCCUUAUUUUGAUCUUUUGGUCAGAAAUGAAGGGGGGGAUUUGGCCAGUGAAGGACAUGAUGGUGGAAAUUAUACUGCUCCUGUCUCCAAACCAGGCUUUCAAAUCGAUUUAUCCAUUCCCUUAUCAUCUGUUUCUCAAUCUCCCAAUAUCCCAAUGACCAGCUAUGUUGACCAUUCAGUAAAUCAAGAAAAUCCAGAGAACACUGAGUUUGUCAAUUACGGUAACAUAAAGCCGGAAAUGCCACAAUCAAGGCAACCCUUCUUAAACUCUGCUGGUAGUAGUUACUUAGAUGCACAGGAGCAGACUUAUCAACCAUAUUCCAUCGAAACACAAUCAAGUUCAACUCUUCUUGGAUCAGCAAGACCUUUUCUAAAUUUUCAAACACAGGAGCAGACUUAUGGACCAGGUCACGUUAAACCACAAACUUCCACCCUGCAUGAAACUGAAAGGCCUUUCUUCAACUUUGAAACACCACCACAAGAGACUUUAGAGCCAAGUCGUGUUAAACCCCAAUCAAGUUCUGCAAUAACUGGAUCAGAAUGGCCUUUCUUUAACUCGGCAGCAACACAGCACCAGACAUAUGAACCAGGUUAUCUUAAACCACAAUCAAUUUCAGGCCCGGGAGGAUCAGAUUGGCCUGCUUUAAACUCAGCACCAACCCAGCCACAAACCUUUGAGGCUGAUGGUAUUAAACCGCAAUCAAGUUCAACCCUUGGCACAUCAGAAUGGCCUGCCUUCAAUUUGGCACCACCACGGCAACAAACCUUUGAGGGAGAUGGUCUUAAACCACAGUCAAGUUUAACCCUUGGUGGAUCAGAAUCUCCUGUCCUAAACUUGGCACCAAUUCAUCAACAGACUCAUGAGUCAGGUUAUCUUAAGCCUCAAUCAAGUUCAACCCUUGGUGGAUCAGAAUGGCCUGCCUUCAAUUUGCCACCAACUCUGCAACAAACCUUUGAGCCAAGUCACGUUAAGCCACAAUACAGUUCAGCCCUGGAUGGAUCAGAAUGGCCUGCCUUCAACCAGGCACCAAUUCAGCAACAGACUCACGAGUCAGGUUAUCUUAAACCACAAUCAAGUUUAACUGUUGGUGGAUCAGAAUGGCCUGCCUUCAAUUUGCCACCACCAUGGCAACAAUCCUUUGAGGGAGAUGGUCUUAAACCACAAUCCAGUUCAGCAAUAGCUGGAUCAGAAUGGCCUGCCUUAAACUCAGCAGCAACACAGCAACAGACUCAUGAGUUGGGUUAUCUUAAACUGCAAUCAAGUUCAGCCCUGGAGGGAUCAGAAUGGCCUGCCUUAAACUUGGCACCAACUCUGCAACAGGCUUCUUUACACAGGCUUCUUUAACUCAGUGUCAACUCUGUUCAAUCUGUGCCCAUUUCUGCCAAGACUGUAACUCACCAUGUAAAUAAAUAUACAAUUUCCUUCUUGCAUCUGAUGUCAUCAUUUAUAUUUUUAUACUUUUGACUGAUACAUCUCUG